UGGGGAAUCUUGGACAAUGGGCGCAAGCCUGAUCCAGCCAUGCCGCGUGAGUGAAGAAGGUCUUCGGAUUGUAAAGCUCUUUUGCCAGGGACGAUAAUGACGGUACCUGGAGAAUAAGCCCCGGCAAACUUCGUGCCAGCAGCCGCGGUAAUACGAAGGGGGCUAGCGUUGUUCGGAAUUACUGGGCGUAAAGCGCACGUAGGCGGGUCGUUAAGUCAGGGGUGAAAUCCCGGAGCUCAACUCCGGAACUGCCUUUGAUACUGGCGAUCUAGAGAUCGGAAGAGGUGAGUGGAAUUCCCAGUGUAGAGGUGAAAUUCGUAGAUAUUGGGAAGAACACCAGUGGCGAAGGCGGCUCACUGGUCCGAUACUGACGCUGAGGUGCGAAAGCGUGGGGAGCAAACAGG
rnacentral:rRNA from 1 species